UGAAGAUGCAGUGUACCCGCGGCAAGACGGAAAGACCCCGUGAACCUUUACUAUAGCUUGACACUGAACACUGGUCCUUGAUGUGUAGGAUAGGUGGGAGGCUUUGAAGCGUGGACGCCAGUCUGCGUGGAGCCAUCCUUGAAAUACCACCCUUUAAUGGCUGGUGUUCUAACGUAGACCCGUGAUCCGGGUUGCGGACAGUGUCUGGUGGGUAGUUUGACUGGGGCGGUCUCCUCCCAAAGAGUAACGGAGGAGCACGAAGGUUAGCUA
rnacentral:rRNA from 1 species